UGCAUAGACAUACCGAACUCGCUGCUGUCAUCCCGCGUCAGACCGCGAUUCCUUGGGGGGGAGGAGCCAACUCCUUAAAGGAACAGUGGAGCGGAGCCAGUUCCGCCCCCCUGUGUUGUAGAGUAGUGGAUUCUUGAAACUCUUCAUAGAGGAAACCUGGAAGAGGACUGGAGGGCAGAAGAGGGAACCCCUGAAUGGAUUGGGGUUUAAAAUAAAUGAGGAAAAAUACUUCCUAAUUCCAGCGAAGGGGCUCAGGGAUAGACUGGAGCGUUUCUCCCACCACUUCCUGAGGGAAGGAUCAACACUUUCCCACAAGUCUGGCUGCGAGGUCACAUCGUUCAUCAUCCUCUACACUGGAGGUGGAGGGGUGUCUUUGGCAGACACACAUCUGGAGGAGGAGGAGGUACGGGGCGACCUCCCAUCCACAAUGGGGGCAGGGCGGAGAGUGAGAGGUCAGUGAAGACUUCCAGCUGCCGCCUGUGCUGAAAGAGAGGGGGUGGUCUCGAGGAUAAAGCAAAGGCCCUGAAAGUACAGCGGGAUAGAAACUUUAAGCAAGGGAAUGUGAUCGACAUUCCAGGUCCAUAGGAGGAUUUUUUUUUAAAAAAGAUAUAAAGAUUAAAACGUGGGCGUUACAAAGCCCAGGUUAAGGGUC